ACUACGGAUCCUUCACCAUCAAGUCAGACAUCUGGUCCUUCGGAGUUCUGCUCUAUGAGAUUAUAACAUACGGGAAAUGCCCCUACCCAGGUAUGACCAAAGGAGAGGUGAUUUCCUCGGUGCAGCGCGGCUACAGGAUGCCUCAGCCUGACAGCUGUCCUGACGAGCUCUACGCCAUCAUGACGUCCUGCUGGAAGCACAAACCUGAAGACAGGCCCACCUUCGAGUACCUGCAGAGUGUCCUGGACGACUUCUACACCGCCACAGAGGGACAAUACCAGCAACAACCAUAGAGAGGGACACUUUCAGCCAGAAAUUAUAUUUGGAGCUGCUUUGGAUGUGUUGUUAUAGUUGUAAUAUUUUGUAUAUACCAGACUAAUGUCUAAAGCCCUAACAAUCUUGAAAUGUGCUCCUAUACAUGUUUACAAUGUGUUUCUUAUAUAUUUGCUGUUAAGAACAUUUCCCUGGAUUUACCGUACUGUACUAUUCAAAGUGUAUGUGCUAUUCCAGUACCUGACCAUCUCAAAUUCAAUGUAUGUUUGAAAGGGACAGAACAAAUAGGUGACAUUAUACAUAAGAGUUUGCAAUGCUAGGACACAAUGUCUUUAUUCCUGUCCAAAAAGCUGCCUAAAAGAGACUGGAUGUGUAUAUAAUGUGGCAACAAUUGAAAAAGGGCCAUGCUGUAUUUACGAUUAGCUGUUUGACUUCACACAAUCAUUUCUCCUUUUAUAUAGUGUAAAUGACUGAAUUUCACAUUUCAUGACUUAUUAUUUCGUAAGCUGCUCUAACAAUGUUCUUCAAUCUCUAACAAAAUAUUCUUUAAUCAUUUUCUGUUUGUUAACUGUUUCUUGAAUAUCCUGAUCAUCUCUGAACCCCACUUCAUAUUGAAGUUAUUUAGCAUUUGUUUAAUUGUUUAAUUGGUGUGAAUAUGUUAUCUGUAUUAUUUCAACUGUACAUAUAUAGUGGGCUAUUAUAUAAUUAAAUGUCUGGCUUUGA